AGUAUGUGGUUUAAUUCGAAGCAACGCGAAGAACCUUACCAGGGCUUGACAUCCCUUGAAGCAGCUAGAGAUAGCUGUGUCCUUCGGGACAGGAGACAGGUGGUGCAUGGUUGUCGUCAGCUCGUGUCGUGAGAUGUUGGGUUAAGUCCCGCAACCGAGCGCAACCCUUGUCCUUAGUUGCCACCAUUCAGUUGGGCACUCUAAGGAGACUGCCGGUGUUAAACCGGAGGAAGGUGGGAUGACGUCAAGUCAUCAUGGCCCUUACGACCAGGGCUACACACGUGCUACAAUGGCGCAUACAAAGAGAAGCGACCUCGCGAGAGCAAGCGGACCUCAUAAAGUGCGUCGUAGUCCGGAUUGGAGUCUGCAACUCGACUCCAUGAAGUCGGAAUCGCUAGUAAUCGUGGAUCAGAAUGCCACGGUGAAUACGUUCCCGGGCCUU
rnacentral:rRNA from 1 species